rnacentral:misc_RNA from 1 species
UUAACUAUUAUAUAGUACUCAGACAUCAAAGAUUCAGGAGUUUAGGUCCUUUGGCAGGCGCGAUCCAGCCGAAGCCAGGGGCCUGCCAAAGCAACGAAGUUUAGUAUACAAAAGGGUGAGAAUAGGGCCGUGAGGCCUUGCAUUCUUUAAUGAUCCUUCCGCAGGUUCACCUACGGAAA